rnacentral:lncRNA from 1 species
CUUAGUUCAUUUUCCAUCAGUUGUGUUCAUCUGUAUUCUAUCUUUUUUUUUCUGGCUUAUUUUUUUUCAGUCACUUAUUUGCCAGUUUCUCUUCAACUUUCUGUGUAUGUUUGAUUUCUUGAUAAAUGAACUAACCUGCAAGACUAACAAGUCUUCCAAUAUUUUUAGCAUUUGCCAGGAAAGAAAGCUCUGUAGGUGAGGAAGCCUGCACAUUACAAAGCUGAAUUCAAGACCUAAUUCUGCCAGUCCCACUGAGUGUUGAAAAACUCCUCCUGUUUAAGCUAAAAAUUAUUAUCGCCAACUAUGCUUCACAGACCAACUAUAGUUUUUUAGUUUUCUUCUGGAUCGUAUCACAUCUUGAGGGGUGACUCCUAAGCAGAGCAAAGUAUCCAAGCAGCAGCUUUAAUCGGUAAGAAGAGUGGAAGGUUUAUCUUGCAUAUCUUGCAGCACUUCUGUUUAUACAUCUCAGUAUGUUUGCCUUUUUCACAAGAGUAUGGCAGUGUUGACUUGGGUUUGCGAUUCACUCUCAUCCCAGCUGGUAGCUACAGCU